UGACCACAUUACGUAGAAACACCCAUUCCCGUACGAACAGCGAAGUUAAGCAAUGUCGAGCCUGGUCAGUACCUAAAUGGGUGACCGUUUGAGAAUAUCAGGUGUUGUAAG